AUGGAAGAAAUGAGGGAAAAUCCCAGGCUGGCUGGUGGGGUAGAACUUUGUGAAGAAAUGCUGCAUUUCUGUAGAGGUAUUGGAAUUAAGGGUGAUGACUCUAACACCAGAGGCAGGGGAGAAUACCUCCACCAACUUCUAGGAUCUCAGGUUUUUCUCAGCUUGUGGGAGAAAAAGAAAAGAACAAAGAGAGACCCAAGAGUGAGAAGCAGCAUCUGGUGGGGCCAGGGAAAUCUUGGCUUGUUGGAGAAGCUAAGCUCCAAAGUGUGGACCAGGCGGUGGCUAUGUGAAAGGCAGAUGGUCAGAGGAUGCAGCGGUGGCCUGCACAAGUUGGCCAGGCCACAGCGUCAGGAAGGGUGGUCAUCAAAGCUGAGUUUGGGAGACCUUCUAAUAGCAGAGAACAAUGGGGGUUAGAGGGUGGAAACCUGAGUAACUUACUGGUAUGGCCAGAAAAGUUCCCUUUGUUACUGUCUUAUUCCUGAAACUAUAAAUUCUUAGUAACACCUUUAGAUUUUACUCAGGCAACUUGAAGAUAAAAAUACUACCUUGUUUAUAUUUUCCCCAGAGUAUAGCACAGUGCCUGGGACACCACGUGCUGUUUCUUAAAUUAUCGACUGAAUGAAUAAAUGAAUGAAAAGUAAUCACUACUUUUGUAUUAGGCACUACAUGGAAUAGGGGGUGGAAUCUACAAAUGAGGAAUACAGCACCCAUGUUCCUAAAAAGACUGAUGUCAAGUGGGGAACUGAAAAUGCCUGUGGUUAAUCAGUUCACUUCAGUCACUCAGUCNNNNNNNNNNNNNNNNNNNNNNNNNNNNNNNNNNNNNNNNNNNNNNNCUGUCCAUCACCAACUCCCAGAGCUAGCUCAAACUCAUGUCCAUUGAGUCGUUGAUGCCAUCCAACCAUAUCAUCCUCUGUCGUAUCCUUCUCCUGCCUUCAAUCUUUUCCAACAUCAGGGUCUUUCCUAGUGAGUCAGUUCUUCGCAUCAGGUGGCCAAAGUAUUGAAACUUCAGCAUCAGUCCUUCCAAUGAAUAUUCA
rnacentral:lncRNA from 1 species